GGUCUCGUGGCGAAAUUGGUAGCCGCGCCGGGCUCAAACCCCGGUGCCCCCGACGGAGGGGCGUCCCAGUUCGACUCUGGGCGAGACCA
rnacentral:tRNA from 1 species